GGGUGUGUAGCUCAGCCUGGAUAGAGCACCUGCCUUCUAAGCAGGUGGUCGGGGGUCCGAAUCCUCCCACACCCG
rnacentral:tRNA from 1 species